rnacentral:lncRNA from 1 species
ACUAAUAUUCCAGUCAGGCUCAAUGAUAUUAUGUAUGUAAAAUGCUCAGCACAGACUAGAGGGAGUGCAUUUGAAGAGAAGUAGAAGAAAAUUGUAUUUGCUGUGGGGUAGUGGGGAUUGUAAACAAGAGACUGUGUUAGUUCUAAGUUCUCCCUGUCUCAAACCAGCCAGAGUCCAAAGUGCCUCAUCUGUUGGAUGACAGUGCUUGGAAGCCCUGCCAAUGAAAUGGCCACUGCAGAGUGUUUGUCUCCUAAUGCAUGUAGAUGAUCAGCGGGCCACAUAGAAUACGCAAUGGAAAAUGCUGAGCUGUGUCACAGGACUGAACAUACCAGCUGCCAUUCAUAAAACAUGCCACUUAGGAGCAAACAACUUUUCAGAAGAAACAAUAUGACACAAGGGGAGAGUAAAUGGGAUACCGUCUUUCUUCGGAUGAAAACUAUUUCUCUUAUUAAACUCUUUCCACUAAGGCAAG